ensembl:lncRNA
GUAAGGACAAACAACGGUAAAUAAGACUCACAACACAGAUUGGGCUGAUUACACAUGUGAUUCAGAGCUUGGUCACGCAGAGGGCGUUCCCCAUAGCAUUCAACGCAGCUAUAGUUCCUGAAGAGGAACUUUGAGUUAUGUAAAUACAUACAUACAUACAGCACAUACAUUGACAUUAGGUAAGAUUAGAUUAGAUUCAACUUUAUUGUCAUUGUGCACAGUACAAGUACAUGUCACACCCAGGGGCUGGCUAUGCUUUGACUAAGCCACACCCCUUCUCAACUUCCACCUCGAGGAGGUCCCCAAAGCCAACCCAAUGGCCAAACAACACGAGAACAAAUGGGCUAUGGCCGGGAAGAGGUCAGGGAGCAAGGGGGCCACGGGGAUCCGGGGCGUGGGACUCGGGCCCCGGCCUGAGUCUUAGGUAUCCGUAGCGCCCUCCUUCUUCCUCCUCUUCGCUGAAUACAGCUCACGGUAAGUACUGGUUCACACAGUUCGUUCUCGGGGUGCUCACUCUCUUUCUCUUCCUCCACAGGCAACGGCUGGGACACAAAAGCACAGUUAAUUCGGCUUGGUUUUGCCCUCACCUCUUCGCUGAUUGCAGCUCACAGUAAGUACUGGUUCACACAGUUCGUUCUCUGGGUGCUCACUCUCUUUCUCUUUCUCCACAGGCAACGGCUGGGACACACAGGCACAGUUAGUUCAGCUUGGUUUUGCUCUCACCUCUUCGCUGAUUACAGCUCACAGUAAGUACUGGUUCACACAGUUCGUUCUCUGGGUGCUCACUCUCUUUCUCUUUCUCCACAGGCAACGGCUGGGACACACAGGCACAGUUAGUUCAGCUUGGUUUUGCUCUCACCUCUUCGCUGAUUACAGCUCACAGUAAGUACUGGUUCACACAGUUCGUUCUCUGGGUGCUCACUCUCUUUCUCUUUCUCCACAGGCAACGGCUGGGACACACAGGCACAGUUAGUUCAGCUUGGUUUUGCUCUCACCUCUUCGCUGAUUACAGCUCACAGUAAGUACUGGUUCACACAGUUCGUUCUCUGGGUGCUCACUCUCUUUCUCUUUCUCCACAGGCAACGGCUGGGACACACAGGCACAGUUAGUUCAGCUUGGUUUUGCUCUCACCUCUUCGCUGAUUACAGCUCACAGUAAGUACUGGUUCACACAGUUCGUUCUCUGGGUGCUCACUCUCUUUCUCUUUCUCCACAGGCAACGGCUGGGACACACAGGCACAGUUAGUUCAGCUUGGUUUUGCUCUCACCUCUUCGCUGAUUACAGCUCACAGUAAGUACUGGUUCACACAGUUCGUUCCUUAGGUGCUCACUCGCUUUCUCUUUCUCCACAGGCAGCGGCGUAAGUACAAGUUUCCUCGGUCUCUCCUCGUGUUACCCACUCUCUCUCCUUUUCUCUCCACAGGUAUCAACUUAG